UACGAAGGGGGCUAGCGUUGCUCGGAAUUACUGGGCGUAAAGCGCACGUAGGCGGCUUUCUCAGUCGGGGGUGAAAUCCUGGAGCUCAACUCCAGAACUGCCUUCGAUACUGGAAAGCUCGAGUCCGGGAGAGGUGAGUGGAACUGCGAGUGUAGAGGUGAAAUUCGUAGAUAUUCGCAAGAACACCAGUGGCGAAGGCGGCUCACUGGCCCGGUACUGACGCUGAGGUGCGAAAGCGUGGGGAGCAAACAGG
rnacentral:rRNA from 1 species